UACGAAGGGAGCUAGCGUUGUUCGGAAUUACUGGGCGUAAAGGGCGCGUAGGCGGUUUAACAAGUUGGAUGUGAAAGCCCUGGGCUCAACCCGGGAAUUGCAUUCAAGACUGUUUCACUAGAAUUCGGUAGAGGUUGGUAGAAUUCCCAGUGUAGAGGUGAAAUUCGUAGAGAUUGGGAAGAAUACCCGUGGCGAAGGCGGCCAACUGGACCGACAUUGACGCUGAGGCGCGAAAGCGUGGGUAGCAAACAGG
rnacentral:rRNA from 1 species